rnacentral:rRNA from 1 species
GACGAACGCUGGCGGCGUGCUUAACACAUGCAAGUCGAACGAUGAACCACUUCGGUGGGGAUUAGUGGCGAACGGGUGAGUAACACGUGGGCAAUCUGCCCUUCACUCUGGGACAAGCCCUGGAAACGGGGUCUAAUACCGGAUAUCACUUCCGCAGGCAUCUGUGGUGGUUGAAAGCUCCGGCGGUGAAGGAUGAGCCC